AUAAUGUUGGGAACAGUGCAGAAGA
rnacentral:piRNA from 1 species